rnacentral:rRNA from 1 species
UACAGAGGGUGCGAGCGUUAAUCGGAAUUACUGGGCGUAAAGCGUGCGUAGACGGUUAUGUAAGUCGGGUGUGAAAGCCCCGGGCUCAACCUGGGAAUUGCAUUCGAGACUGCAUAGCUAGGGUGCGGAAGAGGGAAGCGGAAUUUCCGGUGUAGCGGUGAAAUGCGUAGAUAUCGGAAGGAACACCAGUGGCGAAAGCGGCUUCCUGGUCCAGCACCGACGUCAGGCACGAAAGCGUGGGGAGCAAACAGG